UAGGAGACAGGGAUCUCGCUAUGUUGCCCAGGCUAGUCUCGAACUCCUGGCCUCAAGUGAUCCUCUCACCUCAUUGUCCGGAGUAGCUGAGAUUAUAGUGGUGAACCACCAUGCCUGGCACCCCCUCAGCUUUAUUAAGGUCUGUUCGAGGCUAAAUUGUUUUCCUCAAAAUUGCAUAUGUUGAAGCUCUAACCCUCCCCAACCGUAGAAUGUGACUGUAUUGGAGAUGGGACCUUCGAAAAGUUGAUUAAGGCAGAAUAAGGCGUUAGACUGGGCCCUAAUCUAAUCUGACUGGUAUCCUUAUAAGAAGAGGACAUUGAGAUUCACGGAGACACCAAGAUUUGCACGUAGAGGAAAGACCCUGUGGGAACGCACCAAGAAGGCAGCCAUCUGCAACCCAAGGAGGGAGGCCCCAGGAAAAGGCCCCUGCCGCCAUCUUGAUCCAGGACUUCCGCCAUCUUGACCCAGGACUGCUACUCUCCCAAGCAGUGAGAAAAAUCCAUUUCUGUUGUUUAAGCCACUCAGCCUGUGGCAUUUUGUUAUGGCAGCUCCAAUUGGAGAAGUGACGACGCUGAGUGGACAGAAGUAGAAUGAAAAACUCAACCUGUGAAGCACCCUGAUGUACCAAAUGACUUUUUUUUUUUCUUUUUGAGAUGGAGUCUUGCUCUGUUGCCCAGGCUGGAGUGAUCUUGGCUUACUGCAACCUCCGCCUCCCAGGUUCAAGUGAUUCUCAUGCCUCAGCCUCCCGAGUAGCUGGGAUUACAGGUGCGCGCCCCCACGCCCGGCUGAUGUUUGUAUUUUUAGUAGAGACGGGGUUUCAACAUGUUGGCCAGGCUGGUCUUGAGCUCCUGACUUCAGGUGAUCCACCUGCCUCGGCCUCCCAAAGUGCUGGGAUUAUAGGCAUGAGCCACUGCGCCUGGCCUGUACUAGAUGACUUUUAUGUGAGAUCUCAGUUAUGCAGUUGAAAGCGUUACACCAGAGAGCUGUGCCUGUUGUGCCAUUUGGAGAAGAAAGCUCGGCAAUGGUGCAGUGAGAGGGACACACGUUCCCCCUUUAGUCCUCCUCCUGGACUGAGCUGGAGAGAAACAGCACGAACAAUGAAGAGUGUAAAUUUGAAAAUAGUAGGAAACAACUCGCUUAUUUUAAUGUGUAUAUUUAAAGGCGUUAAUUCAAAACAUCCAGAAGAAAUUAAAAGCAUCCCCUUUUCAGUCAGCAAAUAUUAACAAAGCCCCCACUAUGUUUGAGUUGUGCUUAUGGAAUGAGGUCUUGAACAUGUGUGACCUUUUUUUUCUAGAAGAGCAAAGUUGACCUCUCCAGGUCAAAUGUUUAUUUUACUCAUUUAAAAUAAAAAAUUCAUUUAGAAAUAUAUUUCAUAUUUUCCAUGUUCCUUAAGUAGACUCUAUGGAAUAUAAUUAGAUCCUAGCUUAAUGAUUUACCACCCACAAUAGUACUGUCUGGCCAGUAUUUAUGCUUGGGUACAACAAUCCUCUUCCGUCUAAUGAGCAGUCUCUAACUAUACGGCACAUUUGCUGUCAUCUAAGAAAUCAGAUAACCCUGAUUACUAGAACUGUAUUUAAAGUAAGAGUCAACAUGACAUGAGUACGUGUCUUCGAAAAUAAUGUAAUUGAGUUUUAAUGAAUGAGUUUCACAACUGUUCUUUCAGCUACUGAAUGGCUCUGGGUCAAAGUUCUCAAAGACCCUGGUGAGGCUGAGAAGUCUAACCUUGAACUGUGUGAAGUAUUUCUGUACCUAAAAAUACCUAUUCAAAUAUAUUUGAAACAAGUUAUUAAAGAUAUUAAACAUAUUG
rnacentral:lncRNA from 10 species